rnacentral:lncRNA from 1 species
GGGUGUGAGGCAUGUGAGAACUGAGACAUAGAACAGCAGCUGACCAUCUCCUAUUCUGUGCCCACUGUGAAGCAAGAAGUUAUUGAGUGGAGGUAUGCAGAAUCAUGAAUCAUGAUUCAUAGAAUCAUCUAUAUGAAUCAUUUCUUUCUCUCCUUCCCGUUGCUGAAGAUAAUAGAUGAAAUCCUGCAAAUUGAAUGGAAAUGCAAAGAAUGGAACUUGC